UACGGGGGGGGCAAGCGUUGUUCGGAAUUACUGGGCGUAAAGGGCGCGUAGGCGGCCGCCUAAGUCAGACGUGAAAUCCCUCGGCUCAACCGGGGGAACUGCGUCUGAUACUGGGUGGCUUGGAAUUCGGGAGAGGGAUGGCGGAAUUCCAGGUGUAGCGGUGAAAUGCGUAGAUAGUCUGGAGGAACACCGGGUGGCGAAGGCGGCAUCCUGGACCGACACUGACGCUGAGGAGCGAAAGCCAGGGGAGCAAAGCGGGG
rnacentral:rRNA from 1 species